rnacentral:misc_RNA from 1 species
ACACCUCAACUCUCAGGCUUGCCAUGAUGAGCUUGGACUUUGGGGGUCUUGCUGGCCUGUGGUCGACUCCUCUCAAAUGAAUCAGCUUGCCGGUGUUUGGUGGGAUCACAGGUGUGAUAACUAUCUACGCUUGUGGUUUUCCACCAGGUAACCCUCAGCAAUGGAGGUUCGCCGGAGCUUAUAAAUGUCUCUCCCCAGCGAGGACAGAUUUUGACC